rnacentral:siRNA from 1 species
GGAGAGUUACGAGUUGGUAUCAGA